UAAUAAGAUGCCUGAUAAAAAGGGUUAUUUUGAUAGAAUAAAACAUGCGGCAUCUCCGCUCUUAUU
rnacentral:tRNA from 1 species